rnacentral:misc_RNA from 1 species
GAUGAAGAACGCAGCGAAAUGCGAUAAGUAAUGCGAAUUGCAGAAUUCAGUGAGUCAUCGAAUCUUUGAACGCACAUUGCGCCCUGUGGUAUUCCGCAGGGCAUGCCUGUUCGAGCGUCAUUUCAACCCUCAAGCCCCGCUUGGUGUUGGGCCCCGCCCGCCGUGGCCGGCCCUAAAGACAGUGGCGGCGCCGCCUGGCCCUCAGCGUAGUACAGCUCUCGCUCCAGGGUCCGGCGGCCGCCUGCCAGAACCCCCCCAACUCUGUGGUUGACCUCGGAUCAGGUAGGGAUACCCGCUGAACUUAAGCAUCUCAAUAAGCGGAGGA